UACGUAGGGGGCAAGCGUUGUCCGGAAUCAUUGGGCGUAAAGCGCGCGUAGGCGGCCCGGUAAGUCCGCUCUGAAAGUCCAAGGCUCAACCUUGGAAUGCGGGUGGAUACUGCCGGGCUAGAGUCCGGAAGAGGCGAGUGGAAUUCCUGGUGUAGCGGCGGAAUGCGCAGAUAUCAGGAGGAACACCAAUAGCGAAGGCAGCUCGCUGGGACGGUACUGACGCUAAGGCGCGAAAGCGUGGGGAGCGAACAGG
rnacentral:rRNA from 1 species